GAGGGUAUAGCUCAGGCAUAGAGCGCAUGCUUAGCAUGCACAAGGUCCUGGGUUCAAUCUCCAGUACCUCCA
rfam:Camelus ferus unplaced genomic scaffold scaffold64113, whole genome shotgun sequence.